ACGUGCAGAUCUACUAUUUUUAAAAAAAUUGCUGAUGUUCUGUUUGGAUCAUCAUUGAUUGAUUUAUUUGAUUGGGUGGCUACAAAAAUGAAGUCAAACAAAUCUCUCAUAACUAAAAAGACUAAAAGAUGGACGCCCUUUGGUGCAAUAAAGUUUAAAGUUUAUUUGUUAAAAGAACGCAAGGCCAUCAAGGUUUAUCUAUGCCUGUAGGUUUCGUCAGUUCCUGCUGCUAUAUGAUGUCAAUUUGUAUUUUGAAACAUACUACAAUACAGUACAUUAUUUCUAAUGUCAAGCUUAAGCAUUGGGCGUUGGUGGCUACGACACUGUGACACAGCCAGCUAGCAGCAUGGUAUAUAAGGCCGUGUUUAGUUCCGGUAUGAAAAAAAUUUGGUCAUACUGUAGCACUUUCGUUGUUUUGUGGUAAGUAUUAUCUAACUAUGGAUUAACUAGACUCAAAAGAUUUGCCUCGUAAAUUUCAACCAAACUGUGCAAUUAAUUUUUAUUUUUGUUUAUAUUUAAUACUCCAUGUAUGCAUCUAAAGAUUCGAUGUAACGGAGAAUCUUGAAAAAUUUUGAGUUUUGAGUGGAAGUAAACAAGGCCUAACCAAUUGACGAGGGUUGAGCUCCACAGGGACCCAGAAUAUGCAGACCUGAGGCCACCAAAAGCUGUUCUCCAUAGCUGUGCCCAUCUUUGUCAAGCUCCUCAUCCCCCACAGCGAGAAUGUUCAUAAAUGGGCAUGAGAUUAUUGUAAUUUUUAUUUAGUAUUUUUCUCAUACUCAGAACCAGUUUGCAUUGUUAGUACAUAGGAAAUCUGGAGAGCCCACUUUGUUUGAGAUGGACUCACUUGAAAAUUAUUUCAUUGACAGCGGUCUCCCAUACUCUAUGAUUGAAAAUAUUGCUGCUGGGCUAGAGUUUCCACAAGCGGAAGUAGUUGAUGAAUGGAGGAGAAAUUUUGCACUGGGCAGGAGUCUAAUGAACCCCAAGCACCUACAUGUACUCGGUACGCAGAUGUUUGCCAUGGAGGCUUCUAAAGGAAGAGUUGAUUGGAUUUCUGUUCGAAUUUGAAACCAUCUCUACUUCCAUGGCGAUGGCCUUAUCUUAGUCAAGAUGAGCGAAUUACAACAGCUAUGCCACAUGGAUGCUCUAGACAAAUCGCUCAUUAGCUGCUUUUAUUUAUCCAAAAAGGACAAUACUCUUGGAUUUGUUGAUCCUUACAUCAUUUCAAGGAGCCAAACCCUUCGGCUACUUGGAUCAAUGACAUGUGUAUGAAUCUUAUGAGGUUCUUCGUGAACCAAAAAGACAAAAAAAAAUACUCUUCCCCUACAACUUCAAGUGAGUUAUAUAUAUAUAUAUAGUUAACAUGCAAGUGUACACCUUUAAUUUUACUUAACCCUAAUCUAUGACUCAUGUCUCUAUGAACAACUUUCACUGGAUACUCAUAGUCAUCAAUCUUGCUGAAAGUAAGUUGGUAAUCUAUGACUCAAUGAAGAAACCGCAAUAAGAUUAUCAAGAUAUGAUAGACAUCAUUCAAAGAGUUUGGGAAAGAUUCAUUGUUCGGGAACAUCUAACUCUAUGUAGGGUGCCACUAAAGAUAAUACAGCUACAAUGGAUCUUGAGACAAGAACCAGGGAUCAACUUAUGUGGAUACUAGUUUGCGAGUAUAUUAUGGCAGAAACAAAUAGAAUUCCUAAAGAAUACCUGAGAACUGAAUGGCUGAAGUAAAAACUCAUGCAACAUGAACAACUCCAAGCAAUACAAGAGGCAAUAGCAGGAUUUCUUCAGGAACAAGUCAUAAAUCCAAGCGGCGAGUUCCACUAUAAUCCUAACGAGACGAUGAUUCCAAACAAUGAUGAUCAUUUGUAGACCCUGUAGAUCUUUGGAUAAUGAAGUACAACUUGUAAUAGGUUUAGAGUAUUAACUUUAGAGUACAACUUGUGCAGUAAUAGAUUUGGAGAACAACUUCUAUA